rnacentral:lncRNA from 1 species
GAGUACUGGUAGUUAAGGCCCCCAAAAUAUUGCCCAAAUUCUGAUCCAUCUCGAGUUGAGAAUUCUCGUCACGCUAUCUUUUUCCUUCACGAUUUUUUGUUAUGGAUUCGCCCUCUCGGAUAAAAUGAUUUACAAUCAGCCUGCUUUAGAUCGUAGACCAACCUCGUUCCUUUUAUCUUGGGCAUCUCACUUGGAAUCCAAUGCAUUCUUUUCGAUCUUGUACCCUACAAAAAAUAGGCUUGCUUCGCAUAGGCUACACAAGCUUCGGUGCGGUACACUGAACACAACCCAAUAUCUUGCUCAAUGGAAGAAGCAACUAUCAAAUGCAUCCUUGCCUGCUUCCCCUGUCGGAUAAAGAGGGAAAUAGCAGUACUGAGCUACAUCUGAGAUGAGAAGGAAAAGGAAUUUUACUUGAUGGAACUGGCCUUUUUUCUAAAAUUGGAUCAAUGAGAUCGCCAUCGAAAGAAAGCACCAAAGCAAACAGAGUAGAUACUUUGUUGAGUCAACUGGGAUUGCAGCGGAUCUAGUGGUUCUCUUUUUCUAUGGUAUUGCUGCUAAGAUAGUCAGAAUAUAAAGCAGAAGCAGAUGCUAACUCUCCCGAAAGGUUGGAGGGAAGGACAAGGUAGGAUUUUUCUAAGAGACGAACUUGCGGAAGGAAGAGGUCUUCGACUAAGACGGAGACGGGUAUUUCCAAAGAUGCUUGACCUAAGAGAGGGACGAGACUAAGAACUAAGAAAAGAAGAUAUUGGAGAGGAAAGAAUCAAUAUAAUCUGGGUAUUCCCGGCAGUCAACCAAUACUUUAACUUUGAAAGGUGCAAAACAUUUCUUUAUUAAGAUAUAAGAGAGCUCGGAUCUUGCCAUUGCAAGGAGCAUGGAUUCUGGUUCUAGGAAGGGAUUCACUUCUUUCCCACAGGUCUUUCUCUUUGCAGGAUUGGAGCUUUUAAGGCAGUCUUAGGUUUGGGGCCAUUCGACACAUAUACUGUUGAGCCGU